GGAAGUAAAAGUCGUAACAAGGUCUCCGUUGGUGAACCAGCGGAGGGAUCAUUACCGAGUUUACAACUCCCAAACCCCAAUGUGAACGUUACCAAUCUGUUGCCUCGGCGGGAUUCUCUUGCCCCGGGCGCGUCGCAGCCCCGGAUCCCAUGGCGCCCGCCGGAGGACCAACUCCAAACUCUUUUUUUCUCUCCGUCGCGGCUCCCGUCGCGGCUCUGUUUUAUUUUUGCUCUGAGCCUUUCUCGGCGACCCUAGCGGGCGUCUCGAAAAUGAAUCAAAACUUUCAACAACGGAUCUCUUGGUUCUGGCAUCGAUGAAGAACGCAGCGAAAUGCGAUAAGUAAUGUGAAUUGCAGAAUUCAGUGAAUCAUCGAAUCUUUGAACGCACAUUGCGCCCGCCAGUAUUCUGGCGGGCAUGCCUGUCCGAGCGUCAUUUCAACCCUCGAACCCCUCCGGGGGGUCGGCGUUGGGGAUCGGCCCCUCACCGGGCCGCCCCCGAAAUACAGUGGCGGUCUCGCCGCAGCCUCUCCUGCGCAGUAGUUUGCACACUCGCACCGGGAGCGCGGCGCGGCCACAGCCGUAAAACACCCCAAACUUCUGAAAUGUUGACCUCGGAUCAGGUAGGAAUACCCGCUGAACUUAAGCAUAUCAAUAAGCGGAGGA
rnacentral:rRNA from 1 species